ensembl:lncRNA
ACACAGUCAGGGACAUGUUGAAAAUGUCAGUGAAGGGCCUCCCGGGUGGCGCAGUGGUUAAGGGCGCUGUACUGCAGCGCCAGCUGUGCAAUCAGAGACUCUGGGUUCGCGCCCAGACUCUGUCGUAACCGGCAGCGACCGGGAGGUCUGUGGGGGCGACGCACAAUUGGCCUAGUGUCGUCCGGGUUAGGCAGGUAGGGAUGUCCUUGUCUCAUUGCGCACCAGCGACUCCUGUGGCGGGCCGGGCGGCAUGUGCGCUAACCAAGGUCGCCAGGUGCAUGGUGUUUCCUCCAACACAUUGGUGCGGCUGGCUUCCGGGUUGGAUGUACGCUGUGUUAAGAAGCAGUGCGGCUUGGUUGUGCUGUGUAUCGGAGGACGCAUGACUUUCAACCUUCGUCUCUCCCGAGCCCGUACGGGAGUUGUAGCGAUGAGACAAGAUAGUAGCCACUAAAGCAAUUGGAUACCACGAAAUUGGGGAGAAAAAGGGGUCAAAUUUAAAUUAAAAAAGAAAGAAAAUGUCAGUGAAGACACCUGCCAGUUGGUCAGUAACAUAUCAUACGUUUUGCAAAUUCGUAACAUAUAUGAAAUGGAUGAUGGAUGUCCACAAAUGAAUAAAUACUAAAUGGAGUGUCUCGGCUUAACGUACAGAAUAAUAUGAAAUGCUCCGAGACCAGGUUGGUCUACACAACGUCAGCUAAAACCUUUUGAGAACAGGAAGCAGAAAUGUACUAUGUGUAAGAAUAUAGCUUCCGUCCCUCUCCUCGAACCAGGGACCCUCUGCACACAUCGACAACACCCUCGAAGUAUCGUCACCCAUCGCUCCACAAAUGCAGCGGGCCAUGCAAAGCAAGGGGAACAACUACUUCAAGGUCUCAGAGACAUUGCCUCAGGUAGUCCACUACUGGAGUGGGAGGAUGCGAGAGAGGGAUGUGGUUUGUGGCGUUUGGCUCUUUGCUCUCUCUGAUGGAGUCAGUCCAGACCCUGGAGACAUUUAAAUGAAGUCAAACAUCAGUGACAGCUGGCCUGGGUCUCCGUGGGGAUGCGGUGGCAGAACAAAACAAAUGCAGGGCACUAGGAGAGAGGGAUGCCCAGAUAAAUGCUGAAUUCAUGGAGUACUUGCCCAGACCAAAGGGUUCCAUUUUUUUUCUUCUUUCGACAGUGCCUGCCUUCCUUAUACAAUGUGAAUGAUAGCCACCAAAUGAACAUAAAAUAUGCUUUUCAUUUGUCUUGCCUGUUCUUCUGGAAUUGUAUUUACUGUGUACUGUGUGUACUGUACUGAAUGCAUGUGUGUUCGUGUGUACACAUUUAUUCACAUGUAGGCCUACACAUUUUUCUAGACAUUAAAUAUACAUUUUUAGCUCCA